rnacentral:tRNA from 1 species
UCCCCGAUAGUCUAGUGGUGAGGAUAUCUGCUUGUCACCGGGGAAAUCCCAGGAUUCGCAGGGGACCGGGGUUCAAUUCCCCGUCGAGGAG